GACGUAGGGCGCGAGCGUUGUCCGGAUUUAUUGGGCGUAAAGAGCUCGUAGGCGGCUUGUCGCGUCAACUGUGAAAACCCGUGGCUCAACCAUGUGGUCUGCAGUCGAUACGGGCAGGCUAGAAUUCGGUAGGGGAGACUGGAAUUCCUGGUGUAGCGGUGAAAUGCGCAGAUAUCAGGAGGAACACCGGUGGCGAAGGCGGGUCUCUGGGCCGAUAUUGACGCUGAGGCGCGAAAGCCAGGGGAGCAAACGGG
rnacentral:rRNA from 1 species